rnacentral:rRNA from 1 species
AAGUGAGAAUGUUGGUAUGAGUAGCGAAAAGAAUGGUGAGAAUCCAUUCCACCGAAAGCAUAAGGAUUCCUGGGCAACGAUCGUCGUCCCAGGGUAAGUCGGGACCUAAUCCGAGGCAUGGAGCGUAGGAGAUGGACAACUGGCAGAUAUUCCAGUACCGGUAAUGAUUGUUUGAGCGAUGGAGUGACACAGGAGGGCAGGCAGGCAGGAGAUUGGUUGUUCCUGUACAAGCGUGUAGGAUGGGACGCAGGCAAAUCCGCGUCCUGUGAGUCUGAGGCGUGAUGUGGAGGUUCCGGAAACGGAACUGAAGCUGCUGACCCCACACUGUCGAGAAAAGCUUCUAGUUAGAGAAUUACCGCCCGUACCGUAAACCGACACAGGUAUGCGGGGAGAGAAUCCUAAGGUGCGCGGGAGAACCCUCGUUAAGGAACUCGGCAAAAUGUACCCGUAACUUCGGGAUAAGGGUAGCCGCUGUUGUGAAGUCUGAACAGACGGAGCAUGAGGCGGUCGCAGAGAAGAGGCCCAAGCGACUGUUUACCACAAACACAGGUGCCUGCUAAAGAGAAAUCUGACGUAUAGGUGCUGACACCUGCCCAGUGCCGGAAGGUUAAGGAAGGAUGUCCGGAGCAAUCCAAAGCAUUCGACCGAAGCCCCGGUGAACGGCGGCCGUAACUAUAACGGUCCUAAGGUAGCGAAAUUCCUUGUCGGGUAAGUUCCGACCCGCACGAAAGGUGUAACGAUUUGGGCACUGUCUCAACGAGGGACCCGGUGAAAUUGAAGUACCUGUGAAGAUGCAGGUUACCCGCGACUGGACAGAAAGACCCCAUGGAGCUUUACUGUAACCUGACAUUGGGUUCUGAUACAUCACGUACAGGAUAGGUGGGAGGCAUGGAAGCGAGGACGCUAGUCUUCGUGGAGCCGCCGUUGGGAUACCACCCUUGAUGUAUCGGAAUUCUAACCGUAGGAGUAACGAAACUCGGGACAGUGUCAGGCGGGCAGUUUGACUGGGGCGGUCGCCUCCCAAAGAGUAACGGAGGCGCCCAAAGGUUCCCUCAGCGCGGCCGGAAAUCGCGCGAAGUGUCAAAGCAGAAGGGAGCUUGACUGAGAGCCAAACACGGCAAUCAGGUACGAAAGUAGGGCUUAGUGAUCCGGUGGCAUCCAAGUGGAAGGGCCAUCGCUCACCCGAUAAAAGCUACCCUGGGGAUAACAGGCUUAUCUCUCCCAAGAGUCCAUAUCGACGGGGAGGUUUGGCCCUCGAUGUCGGCUCAUCACCAUCCUGGGGCUGAACUCGGUCCCAACGGUUGGGCUGUUCGCCCAUUCACGUGGUUCGUGAGCUGCGCUCCGAACGUCG